rnacentral:rRNA from 1 species
CGGCGACCGGCGCACGGGUGAGUAACGCGUAUGCAACUUACCUAUCAGAGGGGGAUAACCCGGCGAAAGUCGGACUAAUACCGCAUGAAGCAGGGGCCCCGCAUGGGGAUAUUUGCUAAAGAUUCAUCGCUGAUAGAUAGGCAUGCGUUCCAUUAGGCAGUUGGCGGGGUAACGGCCCACCAAACCGACGAUGGAUAGGGGUUCUGAGAGGAAGGUCCCCCACAUUGGUACUGAGACACGGACCAAACUCCUACGGGAGGCAGCAGUGAGGAAUAUUGGUCAAUGGCCGAGAGGCUGAACCAGCCAAGUCGCGUGAGGGAUGAAGGUUCUAUGGAUCGUAAACCUCUUUUAUAAGGGAAUAAAGUGCGGGACGUGUCCCGUUUUGUAUGUACCUUAUGAAUAAGGAUCGGCUAACUCCGUGCCAGCAGCCGCGGUAAUACGGAGGAUCCGAGCGUUAUCCGGAUUUAUUGGGUUUAAAGGGUGCGUAGGCGGCCUUUUAAGUCAGCGGUGAAAGUCUGUGGCUCAACCAUAGAAUUGCCGUUGAAACUGGGGGGCUUGAGUAUGUUUGAGGCAGGCGGAAUGCGUGGUGUAGCGGUGAAAUGCAUAGAUAUCACGCAGAACCCCGAUUGCGAAGGCAGCCUGCCAAGCCAUUACUGACGCUGAUGCACGAAAGCGUGGGGAUCAAACAGGAUUAGAUACCCUGGUAGUCCACGCAGUAAACGAUGAUCACUAGCUGUUUGCGAUACACUGUAAGCGGCACAGCGAAAGCGUUAAGUGAUCCACCUGGGGAGUACGCCGGCAACGGUGAAACUCAAAGGAAUUGACGGGGGCCCGCACAAGCGGAGGAACAUGUGGUUUAAUUCGAUGAUACGCGAGGAACCUUACCCGGGUUUGAACGCAUUCGGACCGAGGUGGAAACACCUUUUCUAGCAAUAGCCGUUUGCGAGGUGCUGCAUGGUUGUCGUCAGCUCGUGCCGUGAGGUGUCGGCUUAAGUGCCAUAACGAGCGCAACCCUUGCCACUAGUUACUAACAGGUAAAGCUGAGGACUCUGGUGGGACUGCCAGCGUAAGCUGCGAGGAAGGCGGGGAUGACGUCAAAUCAGCACGGCCCUUACAUCCGGGGCGACACACGUGUUACAAUGGCGUGGACAAAGGGAAGCCACCUGGCGACAGGGAGCGAAUCCCCAAACCACGUCUCAGUUCGGAUCGGAGUCUGCAACCCGACUCCGUGAAGCUGGAUUCGCUAGUAAUCGCGCAUCAGCCAUGGCGCGGUGAAUACGUUCCCGGGCCUUGUACACACCGCCCGUCAAGCCAUGGGAGCCGGGGGUACCUG